ACUUCCCAUAUCAGGAAACUGAGACUCUCAAUGCUUAAAUGACCUCCCAAACAACACAUUGCAGCAGUGUCUAUAUCACUCUUCUAACCUAGGACCAUCAGGUUCCAAAACUACACCACCGUGCAUUGCAUGCUCUGUGUUUACCCAAACUUGAGGACAGAUUCAUGAUCUCAUGUGCAUAGUCUUUCAGGGCCUUUGGGUGUGGCUUAUCUGCUUCUGGACACCUGAACUUGUGGGUACUGAGAGCUGCUAUUAUACUUCAGCAGUUCUUUUUGUUUGUGAAUUUAAGGCUCUCUUCACCAGUAAGCACAUGCUCUGGUGUGGAGGGCCGAUUAGGGCUGCUGAAUGCAUGCAGCUCUGGAGGAGGUGGUACCCAUGGAGUGGGCAUCCCAAGCCUGGGGCUAUGAUUGCAGCCAAGGAGGAGGCAGAGCUGUGGCCUCUGGAGUCUGUCCUUCUCUCCCUACCCAGCUAGUGCUGUGGGACCCAGAGGCCUUCCCAUCCUUCCUUCUCCCUGUCACACACCUCUUUCUCCUUCUAUCUAUGUUCAUUCUAUUGUGUAGGUGAAUGACAAAGGCCACUACUGCUUAGUUGUAAUGUCAGGAGGGUUUUUCCUCUAACUGACUCAGUGACUGAAAUUAUUCACAAUUCUCCUGUAAGUGGGUGCAACCCAGUUUCAAAUUCAUAGCUGUUUCCAGAGCCCCAGCAUAUUUUACUGCAGAAAGGACAGAUGCCUGCUCAAGUGUCUGAUGAAAACACUUAAGCUUUAUUGUUAUUUGACAUUCAUUAGGGAACCAUCUUCCGUAGGCAAAACACAAGACAUUUCUUUAGACAGGAGGCAUAAAAGGACUAAUGGUGGGUCAUAGGCCAGAUGGUAUGGAAACAAGACGAACUGAGCCCUGGAGCCAUACCAGCUUGGUCCUGCAUUGCCUUUGAGAAUGGAGAGGGGUGUGGGGAAGAAAGAAACAGAAAAUCCCAGGGCACCAGUGAGACUGCCAUUGCACAAACAUGGAGCCCUACACAAUGUGAGUACCAUUGUCCUCUAUCCCCUAACACCCUUUCCCAGCUAAGAUUCAGAAGAAGUGCUUAUUGAUUUAAUAAUCAGGAGAAAAGGACUGAAGUUUACUAGAGACCAGUUAUAGUCAGCAAACUCCUUGGAUUCUCACAGUACCCCAAAGAAGAAUGCUACUGUUCCAGCUUAUGGGGCAGGGCAGCGAGGCCAAGAGAAGGAAUGUCACCAAGGACAGUCAGCUCAUCAGUAAUGCUGCUGGUAUUGGAACCCAUGUCUGUUCAAGGCCACAUUCAUUUCCCUACACCUGUAGGAUUCUUAAUCUAAAUACUCAUUCUUACCUCCUUCUGGAGCAGAAUUUGGAGAGAACAUGGAGGAAAAAAGAGCAAGAACUCAUGACUAGAGGGCGGGGAAAUAGAAUCUGAAGUUGCCCUCUUUUUGCUAUAGGAGUCAGAGAUUCUUCCUGUUUCUGAACUGACUCUUGAGGUGUUGAUGGGGGCAAACGAGAAUGUGAGGAGGCAGAGAGAGGAAGAAGCUGUCUGCAAGCAUCAGUUCAGCACCCAAGUGAGCAGUCAUUCCUCCCCAGCUUCCACUUAGAUGAAGGAAGAAGAAGUAAGAUUGGCUUGCCACAGGGUGUUUUUCAAUUAGAUAUAUGGAUGGAGGACUUUACAGUGAGGAUUCCUUCUGAUUAAAUGUCACUGGCUCCUUUAAUCACAUCUCUUUGGGAAGUUGUUCUUGCUACACCAAAUGAGGUCAUGCAAUUUUGCAAUAGGAAAAUACCUAUUAAUCAGCCUGACGUAAUUUUGGGUCAAUUUGGCUUGAAGGUAAAGGCUUUUCCUGCAAGACUUCUCCAGACAUAUCCAUGCAGAGAUGCUAACAUUUUCUGCAUUGACCUACAUAUUUUUUAACCAUCUCUACUUAGUUGUUACUGCCUACUUAUUCUUUUGACCUGAACUUUCCCCUCCCUUUCCCCUACCUUACCCAGUACAUCCCAAGUUUACUAUAUGCCCUUAAAUGAAAGAAAUUUCCUUGAUGUUCAGAAAUUCAUUUCAAGUUUCUGAGGCCAUGCUCCUUCCUUUAUUGGGAAGAAGUGAAGGAAAACGCCCUCUCUGACACCCUUCCAGAGAGAAGGCUGCUCUAUUCUAAGACUCAUUAAACUCCAUCUGGUUGAACUCCUUUCAUGCCCUACAACCACCUUGUGAGGCCAGAUUGGAGACUCCUGUUGACCUUGGGUUGGUGGCAGCAACCUUUUGUUGACAACAUUGUUAUUUUGUCAGAUAAAGGAACUAAUGCUGGAGAAAGGGUUGUUUCCUCGCAAAUGGUAAGUGUAGAGAUGGGUAAACCCAGCUCUCUCUGGCUUCACACUUGUGCCCUUCAUCCUACUCUAACCAUGGUGACUUAGCACCAUAGCAAAGUGUUGCAAACUGGUCCUGUCUACAAAGCUGGUGCAGAGUGAGCAGUUUCAGCAGGUGAGGAAUCACUGCCAAACAUCAUCCAGAGUGUCCUAGAGGCAAUGGCCACAGUUCAGGAGAAAGG